UGAGGAAUAUUGGUCAAUGGACGAGAGUCUGAACCAGCCAAGUAGCGUGAAGGAUGACUGCCCUAUGGGUUGUAAACUUCUUUUAUACGGGAAUAAAGUGAGGCACGUGUGCCUUUUUGUAUGUACCGUAUGAAUAAGGAUCGGCUAACUCCGUGCCAGCAGCCGCGGUAAUACGGAGGAUCCGAGCGUUAUCCGGAUUUAUUGGGUUUAAAGGGAGCGUAGGCGGACGCUUAAGUCAGUUGUGAAAGUUUGCGGCUCAACCGUAAAAUUGCAGUUGAUACUGGGUGUCUUGAGUACAGUAGAGGCAGGCGGAAUUCGUGGUGUAGCGGUGAAAUGCUUAGAUAUCACGAAGAACUCCGAUUGCGAAGGCAGCCUGCUGGACUGUAACUGACCCUGAUGCUCGAAAGUGUGGGUAUCAAACAGGAUUAGAUACCCUGGUAGUCCACACAGUAAACGAUGAAUACUCGCUGUUUGCGAUAUACAGUAAGCGGCCAAGCGAAAGCGUUAAGUAUUCCACCUGGGGAGUACGCCGGCAACGGUGAAACUCAAAGGAAUUGACGGGGGCCCGCACAAGCGGAGGAACAUGUGGUUUAAUUCGAUGAUACGCGAGGAACCUUACCCGGGCUUGAAUUGCAACUGAAUGAUGUGGAGACAUGUCAGCCGCAAGGCAGUUGUGAAGGUGCUGCAUGGUUGUCGUCAGCUCGUGCCGUGAGGUGUCGGCUUAAGUGCCAUAACGAGCGCAACCCUUAUCGAUAGUUACCAUCAGGUUAUGCUGGGGACUCUGUCGAGACUGCCGUCGUAAGAUGUGAGGAAGGUGGGGAUGACGUCAAAUCAGCACGGCCCUUACGUCCGGGGCUACACACGUGUUACAAUGGGGGGUACAGAAGGCAGCUACACGGUGACGUGAUGCUAAUCCCUAAAGCCUCUCUCAGUUCGGAUUGGAGUCUGCAACCCGACUCCAUGAAGCUGGAUUCGCUAGUAAUCGCGCAUCAGCCACGGCGCGGUGAAUACGUUCCC
rnacentral:rRNA from 1 species